AAGAAAAAUUAGGUAAUGAGAGAUAUAUCCCUCCCCGUUUGAUUACCAUUGCAUACAACAUAGUUGGUCUUACCAAAUCCUUGUAAAACAAACUUUUAAAUCUUAUUGGUCUACUCUUGUCAGAUAGAAUCCCUGACGUUUUUCUUCACUUUAUCCAAUCACUCUUAAUUCUAUUUUACACAUCCUCUUUUUUUUUGCAUGCAUUCAUAUGGAAUUUGACAAUUCACCCGACCAUUGUUUAAGACUCCCCGCUCUAUUUUAUAAAAUGUUUAAAUCAGUUAUCAACCUGAUGCAAACCUCAUUUGACACCAGGUAGGCAGACAAGUAGAGGUACUUUUUUGUUUAAUUUGAUAUAGAUAAUUUACUUACAUAAUUAAUCUAAAAAUAAUUGACCAAUAAUGGUCAUCACAAUAUAAUAA